GCAACCGGUACUUGUUCCCACCUUUGUUACGUUUAUAAAAAAGGAACAAAAAAAAAAUAUAACUUUAUGUCACUGCUAUUCAUGCACUUUCAAAUAUAUGCACUGUCUCUCAUUUUCUUUUUAUUUGUUAUAAGCCUAGUCCUACAAGUCUUUUAUUUUAUUAUAACAGAAGUGUCUUUUUGUGCAUUCUAAUAUUCAAUAUACAGAAAUUGUAACAAGCAUCCAGGAAUCAAGUGCUUUUGCUUUCUAAAAUGGUUAAGAAUUGAGGCAAUGAGCAAGGAGUGGCAAUUGGGGGUUGGUGGUGGUAGGAGAAGAAAAA